CCUACGGGUGGCAGCAGUGAGGAAUAUUGGUCAAUGGGCGGGAGCCUGAACCAGCCAAGCCGCGUGAGGGAAGAAGGUACAGCGUAUCGUAAACCUCUUUUGUCAGGGAACAAAGGCGGGUACUAGUCCCCGUAUGAGGGUACCUGAAGAAAAAGCAUCGGCUAACUCCGUGCCAGCAGCCGCGGUAAUACGGAGGAUGCGAGCGUUAUCCGGAUUUAUUGGGGUAAAAGGGUGCGCAGGGGGCCUGUUAAGUCAGCGGUAAAAGUCCGGGGCUAAACCCCGGCGAGCCGUUGAAACUGGCGGGCUGGAGUUGGAGAGAAGUACGCGGAAUGCGAGGUGUAGCAGUGAAAUGCUUAGAUAUCGCGCAGAACCCCGAUUGCGAAGGCAGCGUACCGGCUCCACACUGACGCUGAGGCACGAAAGCGUGGGUAUCGAACAGGAUUAGAUACCCCAGUAGUC
rnacentral:rRNA from 1 species